rnacentral:lncRNA from 1 species
UGUGUUGUACUUCAGAUUCCCUUGGUUUGGGAGAGGGUUAAUCCCAUACGCCGAGAUAGACUUUGACCUGUGUAUGGAAGAGAAGUGGCCACUGCUAUGCAAAUUAGAGGAAAAGAAUCACAGGAACUGUCCUCCUCGGGGUAAAGAAAGACCACCCACGCAUGGUGUGGCCAUUGCAAGAUUUUAAAUACUCCAAAAAGAAUGAACAGCAAAGUCAUCCUAUCCUGAUAUCCUUACUGGAAUUGGAUUUGCAGAAUCUGAGUUUGUUUUCAUCUAUUACACUGACAAGACAUAACAACCUUGGGCAAGAGAUCAGGAGAACUUCACCAAUGGAGAGAAGGAAAAUCAAAGAAUUGUGGGAGUGGUUCUCUUCUCUAAUACAAGAGAAAUGGCCAAUAUGAAAACACAACCCUCAUCACCUGCUUUUCUGUGAGGACAUGAUACAUAGGUGCCACAGCCAUUUUAUGAGCACAAAGGCUAAUAAUGAGGGCACAAGGAAGAUUGAGAACAGAGAAGCUGGAGAGUCAAGGUACUUGAAGAUGAAGGUAAGCGUGAGAGGCA